rnacentral:rRNA from 1 species
UGGGGAAUUUUGGACAAUGGGCGCAAGCCUGAUCCAGCCAUGCCGCGUGCGGGAAGAAGGCCUUCGGGUUGUAAACCGCUUUUGUCAGGGAAGAAAUCUUCUGAGUUAAUACCUCGGGAGGAUGACGGUACCUGAAGAAUAAGCACCGGCUAACUACGUGCCAGCAGCCGCGGUAAUACGUAGGGUGCAAGCGUUAAUCGGAAUUACUGGGCGUAAAGCGUGCGCAGGCGGUUUUGUAAGACAGAGGUGAAAUCCCCGGGCUCAACCUGGGAACUGCCUUUGUGACUGCAAGGCUUGAGUGCGGCAGAGGGGGGAUGGAAUUCCGCGUGUAGCAGUGAAAUGCGUAGAUAUGCGGAGGAACACCGAUGGCGAAGGCAAUCCCCUGGGCCUGCACUGACGCUCAUGCACGAAAGCGUGGGGAGCAAACAGGACUAGAUACCCUGGUAGUCCACGCCCUAAACGAUGUCAACUGGUUGUUGGGAAGGUUCCUUCUCAGUAACGUAGCUAACGCGUGAAGUUGACCGCCUGGGGAGUACGGCCGCAAGGUUGAAACUUAAAGGAAUUGACGGGGUCAUAGC